AGGGAACUGAGGGAGGACUUACCGUCUCCCUCUGUGCUCCACUGUCUUCUACCUCAGCCCACAGUGGUAACCACAGUUUAUCUCCGCAGGGCGUCAGGACUCAGCCCUCCCAAACAAACAGCCCCCGAUGUUUACGCUGUAGUGAGAUGUGAGAACGACAACGUCAGGAUGCGGGUGUUCAAGGAGAGCGGAAACCCUGAAUUCAACCUGAGAACCAUCUUCUACAGGAGAUACCCCAACACAGACAUCUCUGUUGAGAUAUACAGCAGAGGUCUGCUGUGGGACUCGCUCCUCGGUGAGACUCGACUCCAGACUAGAGAUGUGUACCGGUAUCCGGCACCGGUAUCGGAUAAAACCUAAACGAUACCCAUCCCUACUCC